rnacentral:lncRNA from 1 species
UGAGAGAACAGCUGGUAUAAAGAUAAAAGAGCUACUGUUUACCAAAGAUAGAUUCAACAGAACAGAGAUUCUUGGCCAACAGAAACUACUGGUACACAAGAUCCCAAAAAAACUAUCUGAGGAGCCAUCUUAUAGAAUAUUGAUAUGAAAGCAACUGUGCUACAGACUUCAUCUGAGCUUCACAGCAACAGUGACCUUCUAUCAAGAUAUAUGCUUGAACUGCAUCCACCCCUUGACCAAUAUCAUGUAUAUACUGACCUCUCCCUUACCUCUUUGGAACAGUUUUCAGAGCUCUCUGGGUUAUGAUCCUCAGGGUGGCACAGUAAUCCUCAGCACCAACAAACACCCAAUAGGCUGGCAUCCCAAGCAUCGUUCGUGACUCACAAGUAUCCGAUUAUUUAAAGCAGUGAAAUAUCACAUUUGGCACCUCUCCUGAGAGGCAGCUGCUGUGUUUAGCUGGUGUGGUGAGCAGUUGGUGGGCCCUGCCCACUGAGAGGCCAAGUCAAAAAUAAUCAGUGCCCACAUCAGCAGUCAAAACUACACAGUUUCACUGAAAUCCCCAAAUCUGUGGGACUGAUGUGGCCGAAACAGGAAACAGAAACCUGUGUGGAAAACAGAAAGGAAGACCACCUUUCCAGUUUGCUGGCCUUUUGGUCCCCUUAAAGAAGAACAGAUCACUUGUCUUUAUAGAAUUGGUCUGAAAUGCUUUGAAUCUGUGUCGAAGAUAUAUUACCAUCAUAAGUCAAAUGAAUGUAUUAUGGCCCAUUUAUUUCAAACCAAAAUAAAUUGUUUCAAUUUUUAGAGAAAAAAUACAUUUGCUAUGGAAAUUGGACAUUUUAAAAUAUUGAUUUAAUGUGGUGUAGAAUUUCCAAUAGUAAGGGUAUCUGUGGUUUCUAAGGCUCUUAAAAUAAUGUUUUGGAAGCUAGCUGUCUUCAUUUUCCCUAUCUGUAUCCAUGGCACAGCUAUUAAUCUUUG